AUUCUGCAUUUUCCGCCGGCGUGAAUUUUUUGCAAUUGAAAAGCAGAAAUUAAUAUUAAAAAUAAUAUAAUAAUCCUGCUUGUGAUAAAGAAACAGAGAAACGAGUUGUUAAAGUAAGCCAAGUGUGUGACUGUGUGGAAUUUGUAGAACGUACGCAACUGGAAAUUGGCGCGGAAUAAAUAGUUUUAUUUUUCAUUGCCAUAACGGCGGUGUGUGUAUAACAAGAUGGCGUCCUCGCAAGUCUCAAACAAAUCGGGCUCCGGCUGGCCAAGGCGUGGAAGCCAAGGUCAAGCGGAUGCCAGCAUCAGCAAUAAUGGCACGCAAAAAUAUGCGCCCAAUCAGGCAUUAACCAUAAAUCGCACAAUUAAUCUCUAUCCACUGACGAAUUACACAUUUGGCACCAAGGAGCCGCUGUUUGAAAAGGAUCCAUCGGUGCCAUCACGUUUCCAGCGUAUGCGCGAGGAAUUUGAUCGCAUUGGCAUGAGAAGAUCGGUGGAAGGGGUGCUCCUGGUGCACGAACAUGGCUUGCCACAUGUUCUGCUGCUGCAACUGGGCACCACAUUCUUUAAGCUGCCGGGAGGCGAAUUGAAUGCAGGCGAAGAUGAGGUGGAGGGUCUUAAACGGCUGCUAUCUGAGACGCUGGGCCGUCAGGAUGGUGUUAAACAGGAUUGGAUUGUCGAGGACACCAUUGGCAAUUGGUGGCGUCCCAAUUUCGAGCCACCGCAAUAUCCAUACAUUCCGCCGCACAUAACAAAGCCAAAGGAGCACAAGCGUCUGUUCUUGGUGCAAUUGCAUGAAAAGGAUACGGACAGGAACGCCAGUUACGAUGUACCCUGAGCUGAGCUGUUCCAAAAAUAUAUAGCGCCGUGUUGUAUUGUGUAAACUGUAACUGCAUCUGGCAACUGCCCCCCAAGCCCAACCAAGCAUAUAGAGCUACUUCCUCCAACGCUCUAGAAAGUCUCAAGAGAAUCAGAACAAAAAAGAUAACAGAACCAAAAUAAGAAAAGGCGCAUCUACAAUCUUUUUUUAAACUUGUAGAAAAGAAACUUAUUUCCCACGAAAAAUUGUAUUUAGAGAGUUGCGCUCUCGUUUGAGAAGAUGUUGUUGGCAUAUUUUGUUGUUGUUUGUUUGUGUGAAAACUCCAAAAAUUCUUUGCAAUUGUUCUUUGUUGUUGUAUUAAUUUUGUAAAUAUGUCGACAUUUCUGUAAACGAGACAAAAACAGCGCAUAUUCAAAAACGAUGCUUUGUUAUAUUGUUGAGAGUUUGUUUAUAAUACACUUUUAUAUAUCGGGCAGGCAGUUGAGUUUAGAGUUUUCUCUGUAUACCCAAUUGUAAACUAUAUGUUUUCGAUAUAUUUAUAUAUAUAUAUAUAGUUGUCGUUCUUGCUUAAUGUGCACAAAUCUCGCGUGUUGUGCUGAUUUGGGAGCAUUACAAGCGCAACUUAAUUAGGCAGCUAACAAAACCAAUUGAUAAAAACAUAAUUUAAGCAUUCGUUUUAUGUAAACAACAAAUAUAAUUCUGUGUGUUUCAGUUGUUUCUUGACAACAACAACAAUUUAAACACUAUUAUACUGACACACACUCAAAAACAUACAUACACACACACACCAUGUAUUAUGAUUGUUGCUCUUAAAAAUUAUGUUCAUAUCACAAUUUAGUAGACUUCGUUUGAUAAGCAAAAAAAAAAUCCCUAGACUAAAUGUGAUAAUUAAAUUGUCAUUUUUUUGGCGCAUCAAUUAACCGAAACCUAAGAAUUUUGUCUAACUGAAGAACUGUGAAUGUAAACCUUAAUAUAUCAUAUACGUAUUUUACAGUCAGGGAAUUUCUUUCAAUGUAAAUUUUGUUUUGUAUAACCGAUUGUAAUCUACAUAUUAUUAUUAUUAUAUUGUAAUUGAUAUGCCUUAUAUUUAUCGAAUGCUACCUGCUACAUACAUACAAUUCUGUCUCUAUCGUUUUCUGUAAUCUAGCACUAUUUGCUGUGCCCAAAAAUUAUAAGCUUGUUGCCGCCCCACUAUUCGAGCUCUACGACAAUUCACAAGGCUAUGGACCCAUUAUAUCAUCUCUGCCGCAAGCGUUGUGCAGGUUCAACUUUAUCUACAUGUAAGACAAAAGGAACAUCGCUGUUACGCACUUCUCUCCUAGAUAGACAGCAUCACCAACGAUAGCUCUACUCUUAUAUAUACUAUAUAAAUAUAAAAAAACUGCACUUUAGAUCGAGUGAUGAUGAUUUUCCAUUUCAUUUGUGUAUUAUGUGUGUAUUUGUAUUGCAGAUUAAAAUGGAAAGCCAAUGCGGCUUGUGCUUGGCAUAUAAAUAGAA